GGUUCAACCCGAAUUGAAAAAUUAAAUGAAAACCAUAGCCCUCUUGUGAAAUCAUGUUUUCAUUUUACACCAUUCGACGAACUUGAAAACUACAUUGACAUGGAUGUUGAAAUAGGUAAGUCUUACUAUUAAAAAAAUCUAACCGUGUGCUAAAAUUUAUGUACACAACAAUAUUUUUAAAUAUAAGUAUUCCUAAAAAACUUGGUCAUGUUUUUCUGUGCAGCAUUCGUUGGCAUUGCUGUUGAUAUUCGCCCAAAAUGAAGAAUUUCUGGCAACAAAAAUGCAAAUUCCAUUGUCCAAGACAUUGUUC
rnacentral:lncRNA from 1 species